rnacentral:lncRNA from 1 species
AAAACAUUGGGAAAUGUGGAAUUGUGCUCAACGGGUAUGGCUUUCCUCUGACGGAUUCUCAUACCUCUUGGUACUUUGUACUUUGCUUGGUUCUCCAGAAAGGGAAGAUAAAAAGGGAUACUCAGUGAACACAGUCCAAAGCAUCAUUAUAAAUCCUAUUUCUACGAGAAUACAACACGCACUCUUUCAAGAAGUGCCUAAACUUCCUGGCAGCAUGUGGCUGCUGAAUGAGUAGCAGAAAGCAACCUUUUCCCCAAGCAAAUUUGAAAAAGGAAGGCCUUCUGAAAGCCUUUGCUGUCUGUCUUUCCUCCCAGUGAGGUCUCAUCAUGAUGUGGGGACCCCCGGUAAGUAUAAUGUCCUAAAGACCCAUAAAACAUUAUUUGACAGGAAAAUUCUGCCUCGCCUAUGAGCUGCUGCUAAGGAAUUACACAUGAUGCAAGAGGCAGCAUGGCUGAAAUAUUUUUAUUAAUACUAAUAAUAUUUUUUGCAUAUACAGCAACUUUAAUUGGAGAAAACUGAGUUGGAAAGGAAGCCUUAAAGACAUAGUUGGGGUAAAAUUAUUGGCUCAUAAGUUUCUAGACUUGCUGCCGCUCCUCCACCACACUGGGGGCAGAGGGACAGGGGGCGGGCUUGAAGCUAAUGUCACUCACUUCAAAGAAUUUUAGUAGCCAAAGAUUCCUGAACUUACACAUUCCACAGGAAAACAAAGUGAAGUUUUUUUUUUUUUUAAGGAGCAACAAGUAAGUCUUUGUUUCCUUAUGGUGUGGAGUUACACAAGUCCCACUUGAGAAAAGUGGUAAUGUUGUUGGCGGCCAUUGGCAGAGUGCUUACAGUGUACCUGGCUUUGUUUUAAGUGCUUACAUGCACGCAUUUAAUUUUCACAACAUCACUGUGAAAUAGGGGUUAUUAUAUUUAUUUGAUAGAUAGGGUGACUUAGGCACAGAGAGGUUAAAGCAACUAUCCUCCCUCACCCAGACUCCAGCUAGGAAAUGUUCUCACCUUGAUCCCUCUAGGUUCCAGCUUGAAGAGAACAGAAUAACCUGGGCAAUGUUGGCACAUGCUCAGGAGAGGAUGCCCUGUCUUUGGCACUCACUGGAAAUUUCCUUGAAUUCUAUUCCUUUGCUACAUGUACUCUCCUCAGAUCCCCAACUAGGCUGCAAUCUUCAUGAGAAUGAGGAUUAGAGCUUAGAUUUAUAAAUCUUAUCUUAGGUUUUUGUAACUGAAAACCAGGACAUCUAUUUUAAUCAGAGCAUGAGUUGUUUUCUCAUGGAGACAGUAAUAAAGGAUUUUGAAAUCAGGGCCA